AACGUAGGAGACAAACGUUAUCCGGAGUUACUGGGCGUAAAGGGCGGUGUAGGUGGUGCUGUAAGUUCGGCGUGAAAUUUUUCGGCUUAACCGGGAAAGGUCGUCGGAUACUGCAGGACUAGAGGACGGUAGAGGCGUGUGGAAUUCCGGGUGUAGUGGUGAAAUGCGUAGAGAUCCGGAGGAACACCAGUGGCGAAGGCGACACGCUGGGCCGUACCUGACACUGAGGCGCGAUAGCAUGGGGAGCAAACAGG
rnacentral:rRNA from 1 species